UACGUAGGGUGCGAGCGUUGUCCGGAAUUAUUGGGCGUAAAGGGCUCGUAGGCGGUUUGUCGCGUCGGGAGUGAAAUCCACUGGCUUAACUGGUGGCUUGCUUUCGAUACGGGCAGACUGGAGGUAUGCAGGGGAGAACGGAAUUCCUGGUGUAGCGGUGAAAUGCGCAGAUAUCAGGAGGAACACCGGUGGCGAAGGCAGGUCUCUGGGCAUUAACUGACGCUGAGGAGCGAAAGCAUGGGGAGCGAACAGG
rnacentral:rRNA from 1 species